CGCAUGUGCAGAGAGAUCGCGCGAGCUGCGGGCCUUGAAUUUUCUAAGGGAAAAAAUACUCUUUCUCACGGACGGUGACAGCGGAGCGGAUAAGUCUUCAGUACCUGCUGGUCUUUGAAGCUCUGGAUUCUGGGACUGUUGAAAAGAGGUAGCGGCAAGAGGCGGGACCUCGACUCAUCCAGCUGGAGAGCCUGAUCAGGAGGCGUCGAAAAUUAACUCUGCUCUUCCAGGGCACCCUGCAGACUCAGCUGCUGGCAACAGCGAGGGAGUGUGGCCGCCGCUGGGAUGAUGUGAACGCCAAACAGGAGUCCAUCACAGGUCGACUGCAGCUCCUUGUCUCAGAGUGGGAGGGAUUUGAAGCACAAAGGGAGGAGCUUGUCGUUUGGUUGGCUGAUAUGGAUGUUCGCCUGAGUGAGGUUGACCAGCUGACAGGAAACACCUGUGAAAAGCUGAAACAACUGCAGGUGUGGGGUUGUUUUGAUAUGACACAUAUUUGAUAUGAUACAUAUGUCAGAGACAUUAUCCUAAACUGGACUAACAAAGGACAAUGAGUCCAACUUACCUUACAUAAGGUAAGGCUGAAGUUCAUUGAUCAUUUUAAUCAAAAACUUAUAUUUUUACUGAACAUGCAAACAUCUGCUGAUGAAAAUGUCUUGAUUUAUUGGUCUGUUAUGAAGCUAUUGCUAUUUCUAAUAUGUUUUAUCACUUUCUGAUGUUUUAUUAAUUAAACAAUACAUGUAUUAAUUGUUGUGUUAUCUAUAGAUAUAGUAUUUAUAUAUUUAUUUAUAGUAUAGCAAAAAUGUUUAUUUAUUAUUGUUAAUGACUAAUAUGUGACAUGUAUGAGUAGUGAUGUUGUGCUGAGGGUUAAAAUGCCUUUUUGUCUUUUGGUAUAUUAGGAAAUGUCAAUAAACCAUUAAUAUAUG
ensembl:lncRNA